rnacentral:rRNA from 1 species
AGCGAACGCUGGCGGCAGGCUUAACACAUGCAAGUCGAGCGGGCCUUUCGGGGUCAGCGGCGGACGGGUGAGUAACGCGUGGGAACGUGCCCUCUGGUUCGGAAUAACUCAGGGAAACUCGAGCUAAUACCGGAUACGCCCUUUUGGGGAAAGGCUUGCUGCCGGAGGAUCGGCCCGCGUCUGAUUAGCUAGUUGGUGAGGUAACGGCUCACCAAGGCGACGAUCAGUAGCUGGUCUGAGAGGAUGAUCAGCCACACUGGGACUGAGACACGGCCCAGACUCCUACGGGAGGCAGCAGUGGGGAAUAUUGGACAAUGGGCGCAAGCCUGAUCCAGCCAUGCCGCGUGAGUGAUGAAGGCCUUAGGGUUGUAAAGCUCUUUUAUCCGGGACGAUAAUGACGGCACCGGAGGAAUAAGCCCCGGCUAACUUCGUG